rnacentral:lncRNA from 1 species
CCGUCCAUCCGCAACGGCCUGGACAAAGCCCUGCAGCAGCAGCUGCGGAAGCGCGAGGUCCGCUUCGAGCGAGCUGAGCAGGCCCUGCGCCGGUUCAGCUACCAGCUGUGUCCACGUUCCUGUUCUAGCUGCCGGGGAGUCAGAGGCUGUGUGCCUUGAGGGAGCUCCUGGCUGAGUCUCCCUCUCUGUGCUCUGUCCUGGGCCCAGCCCUCAGGAGGUCCCACUCUGGUGGGGACAGAAAGAGCUGGACAGGGCCGGGGGCAGUGGCUCACGCCUGUAAUCCCAGCACUUUGGGAGGCUGAGGCAGGCACAUCAUUUGAAGUCGGGAGUUCAAAACCAGCCUAGCCAUCAUGGUGAAACCCUGUCUCUACUAAAAAUACAAAAAUUAGCUGGGCAUGGUGGCGGGCACCUGUAAUUCCAGCCACUCAGGAGGCUGAGGCAGGAGAAUCACUUGAACCCAGGAGGCGGAUGUUGCAGUGAGCCAAGAUUGUGCCACUGCACUCCAGCCUGGGCAACANNNNNNNNNNNNNNNNNAAAAAAAAAAAAAAAAAAAAAAAAAGCUGGACACACUCUCAGUCUCAGAGGGUCAGGGUUGGGCAGCGGGGGACAAUGUGGGAGGCUUCCUGGAAGAGGGGGCAUUGGGACUGGGUUUGGAUGGUUAAGUAGAAGCUCUCCAGUGGAGGAGACGAUGAGGAAAGGAACAUUCCUGGUGAAGGGAUUGAUUGGCAUAUGCAGAGGCCCAGCAAAGCAGCCAGACCAUUUGGGCCAAGUGUGACUGUGGGUAGAAGGGAGGCUCCAGGGCCUCAGCAGCUGAGGUGGAGGCCAAGCUCCACUUGUGUGUAUUU